GAUCUUGGUUCAGGAUGAACGCUGGCGGCGUGCCUAACACAUGCAAGUCGAGCGAUCUUCUUCGGAAGAGAGCGGCGGACGGGUGAGUAACGCGUGGGUAACCUGCCCUGUACACACGGAUAACAUACCGAAAGGUAUGCUAAUACGGGAUAACAUACUUUUUAUCGCAUGGUAGAAGUAUCAAAGCUCCGGCGGUACAGGAUGGACCCGCGUCUGAUUAGCUAGUUGGUAAGGUAACGGCUUACCAAGGCGACGAUCAGUAGCCGACCUGAGAGGGUGAUCGGCCACAUUGGAACUGAGACACGGUCCAAACUCCUACGGGAGGCAGCAGUGGGGAAUAUUGCACAAUGGGCGAAAGCCUGAUGCAGCCAACGCCGCGUGAGCGAUGAAGGCCUUCGGGUCGUAAAGCUCUGUCCUCAAGGAAGAUAAUGACGGUACUUGAGGAGGAAGCCCCGGCUAACUACGUGCCAGCAGCUGC
rnacentral:rRNA from 1 species